UUGUACAAGUAAUGAUUAAAGCUCUUGUUCACAGAUGGAGCCAGAUGCAACUCCGAUGGUGAAGAAGAAAUGAUUCCUCGAGUCUUCUGGUUUCCUGAUAGUGUCCGGUUGUUAGCGACCGUCGUUGCUACCGCGGCGUCGUGGUUUUAGCAAUAGUGUGUCAUUAGUGUAAAGUGUAAAAAAGUAGCUCAUGUAAAAGUGUUUCAAACACGACGGUUUCGGCGAUGCUUGACAAGGGGAAGAUGCAUGGUGCCUGACGACCGUCAAGAUGUGGACUUCGAACGAUACGUCUAGUCGAAGAUUCCCGCGCGAAUUCUGCUCAGAUCGACGAGGGAAUAGCUUAAAGUGGAAGAUGAUAGCGACGCACGGUGCUAAAAUUGAUUGACUGGGUUAAUUACUUUGCCGAAUCGAGGUCUCCUCUCAAGUACAACUCUAUUUGCGUAUUUGAGUUAGCGAAGAGGCUGCAGUAUGCUGUCGUCGCUCGUGGCAAAUUCAUUGGGAGUUCGAGCAAAUUCGAGGCGUCGUUCG